GCGGGAGGAACUACUCCCUCUUGUAUGUGAGACUUCUGAGUGUAAGCUGGAAAAGAAUCCAGGACUCCCGCAACCCUUGUAAGGAUAAGCGGCUCAGAAAAUGGAUGGAUGGAUGGGGAUGUGAUGUCCAAACAUUAUUUCAGCCUGCGUCUAACUUGAGAAAACACCUUGUGUGACAAGCUGGACUAAUCAAGUCUCACCAAUUAGAUGUCCCCAUCCAAAGCCAAUGGUCGCAUCCCAUUCGUAUCCUGCCCCCCAGUUUUGGCCAUUAUCCUUGGAUUCAUUGUGCAAGCACUCAUAUUGAAAUGGAAGGCGUGUCAGACCACUGCAUAUCUACCAAGACCCAGCCGCCCCUCUAAACUUUCACCACGAACAAGGACAAGACUGAUCAGAGAUGCAGCCAAGAGGCCCACGAUCCCUCUGAAUGAACUCCAGAGAUCUACAGCUGAGAUUCCCAUCGAAAAAAAAGGAAAGAAACUGGUGCCUGCAGUUUAUAAGAAUACCAUCAGAUAACCAUCAGCUAUUAUGGGUGCGUGCCAUCAACCGCAUUGAUUCAAUGACGAAGAAGCAAUGGGUACCGUCAAGAUAUGAUGUUGUUUGUUCUGAACACUUCAGAGAAGAGGACUUCUAUCCCUCCAAGCACAUACAUUUGAAGCUGCUCAAGAAGACUGCGAUGCCAUCUGUUUUUUCUUGGAACACUACAAGCAUGUAUGUAACUGGUCGCUUAUGGUGUAUAUCUUUAAUCAAUAAAAAAUGUAUCAAGUUCCUACUGCUCAUUUAAAUUAUGUAA